GCUAAUCCCUACGGUGGUUCUGGCUAACCCCUACGGUGGUUCUGGCUAACCCCUACGGUGGUUCUGGUUGGUUC
rnacentral:lncRNA from 1 species